AUGGGACAUAAAAAAAAAUCCAAACACAAGAAGAAAAAGAAGAGACAUUCGUCAACUUCUUCCUCAAGUAGUGCCAGUGCUGAAGAGUGGGUAGAAACUUCCUCCAAAAGUUCAUCCUCUGCCACAACUGCGUCUAACAGUACCAUAGUCACUACAGGAGACUCUGCCACAAAACGUGAUGACUGGAUGUCCAUGCCUGGAUUUAUUCCGGUGGUAUCUAAGGAAAAAAUAAAUGAGGAAAGAAACAGGGAGCGAAAGCUGAAGGAAUUGGAAGAAAAAGAUAAAAAAACUUACAAAGUAAUUAAAAAUUUAUUUCAAUUUACUUUUUAGGGAAAAUACAUUGCAAAAGUCAAUAAUAUCCUAUUUAGUAUCCAAAUCAUCACUCGCUGAACAGUUUAAUUCUUUUGAAGCCCGCUUUUAAACCGAGGAAAAUUACAGAUGAUAGGUAUUUUUUUUUAAAAAAAAGAAGCUUAAAAGAUAUUCCUGAAGUAUGCAAAUCCACAGGUAAUGAGGGGGAUCUCUGUCAGUGUCACAAUGUCACUGGCAGGUGGUGGUUUUCAAAUGAAGCAUUAACAAGUGGACGUAUUUAUGCGAAAAGGAGAUUUGUGGAAGUGGAAAGAUGGGGUGUCCUCGUUAGUGGUCGGGCCAUAAGAAUGAAUGGGGAAUAUAAAGCGCCAGUGACGUCAGCGGCAAUGAUGAAGCACCGCAACGAUGGGGAGAUCGUUGGCGUGACUCUUUAACUCAUGAGCCCUGUCCACAACGCUCUCUUGCCAUGCCUGCGGCUCAUGAGUUAGCAUAUUUUGGCGCUUAGCUCCUUUUGAUUUAAUGUCAAAUCCCGCUUUUCAAUUUUCUCAAAAAGAAAUAAUCCACUUUUACAUUGUUUCUUAUGACCCAACUAACAAGCACACCCCAUCUUUCCAGUUGCACAUAUCUCCUUUUCGCAUAAAUACGUCCAAGUUGUCUGCCGCGUCAGUUGUAUCAACUGGCAGUGAGAGUUCCAUAAGCACCACGAUAGUUGAUUCGACCAGGAUGCGAUUGCUUGUGUUGAACAUUCUUAUGAGGCCAUCGGUCUUUGGAGCUUUGCACAUCCUUAUGCAUGACAAUUGGCAUGUUCCCAAGGGCAAGAUAGAUGGCUGAAGUUUUGUGCUUUAUUUUGGGAGGAAAUAUCGUG
rnacentral:lncRNA from 1 species